AUAUUAAAACUAAAAACAAAGGUGAGGUGUGCGUGUACAGUAAUACAAAUGAUUGGAGGGGGGAGGGAAGCCAAAGUGGCACAUGCAUUUGUAUCGGGGAAUGGGAUGGGCACGAUCAGUCCAGCACUAAUGCACUGAAUUCCAUAAGAACUCUGCAGUUAAGUGUCCUUGGAAUCCCACUAAAUCCUCAUGUUGCACCCGUUUUUUUUCGGAUAGAGCAUUAAACAUUACGCCCGACCGGAGAUACGGUCCAUCGGUUCAUUCGCUGGCGUAAGUCUUAGCGCCAUGGCAUUUUACUUCAUAUUUUUCGUGCAUUCAUUUAUACUCCACCACGUGAUAAGAGUGUCAUUAC
rnacentral:lncRNA from 1 species